rnacentral:rRNA from 1 species
CCUGGCGGCGAUAGCGCGGUGGUCCCACCUGACCCCAUGCCGAACUCAGAAGUGAAACGCCGUAGCGCCGAUGGUAGUGUGGGGUCUCCCCAUGUGAGAGUAGGGAAC